GCUAGCAGCGGCGGAGGAGCCCCGCUGGACGCCCCCAGGCAGAGCAGGGCAGGGCACAGCAGCCUGCUCCGCUCGCCCCACUCCCUGCGAGUAGCCCUUCCCUUUCCGCCCCCGCGCACACCCGGUCCCCGCUGGAGCCCCCUCCUCGGCCAUUGCCUUUCCACCACGCCGGGGAAUAGGACCCUCCUGACCCCUCGCCUCGUACUCUCUGACCCCACCCCCAUAUCGCCCUAUGGCGAGUAGGGCCCAGCGCCCCCCCCGGAGCUUGAGCUAUGUCCCCGCGGAGCCCGGCUGCCCCGCGAGGUGACAGCGGCGGCAGCAGCCUGGGCCCCCGCCUCGCCCCAUACCUCUCACCGCCGCCCGCCCCGGCCCCAACUCACCGGCGCGCCGGGCAGCUGGCCGCCCGCCGGCACGCAUCCAGCCCUCCGGCUCCCACCUGGCUGGCGCCACAGCCGCCUGGGCUUCGCUUCGCGCCUGCAGGCGGGCGGGGUGUCGGCGGCAGCGGGGCCGUUCCGGCGGGCGGCCGUUAAUAGCAGCGUCUCUGCCGGCUGCGCCGCUGCGCCCUGCCCCGCGGUGCGGCCGGCCGGCCGGGAAGCGGACAGCGCCCGCGCACCCCCGCGCCCCGCCUCUUCGGGAUAGAUCACUUUUUCCUCUCUUUCCCUCUUUUGGGGCUUUUUUUUUUUCCCUCUGUCUUUUUGGGUUUUGGGUUUGUUUAGUUUUUUUUCAUUUUCCGUCCAAGUUCACUGGCGAGCCGCCACGCUCAGUUCAGCGAGCGCCGGCGGAUCGAUGUGCUGCGGGUUUGAUUGUGCAUCCCUGGGCGGCGGGGCCGCGCACCAGCGGGGAGGGCCGGGGCGCGCGGGGGCCCCUGCCGGCCUCCCGCCUCUGCCGCGCCACCGGGCACGGUGGCGCAGCACCGGCAUCGGCAGCGCUGCGCUACCGGGGCCGCCUGGGUUUGAGAGAAGUGGAGAUAAAGAGGAAGAAAAAAAAAAUAAAAGAAAAAGAAAGGGGGGAAAAGUAGCGAUUUUUUUUUUAAAGUUGACGGGGAGGAAUAAAAAGCGAGGCUGCUCUCACUUUCACGGUAAGAUCAAAAACUCUCCACUAGCCCCCAUUCUUCGAGUUUUGGGAUCAUUCCAAAUACCUGACUAAGUGCAGAUGUUGUUGCGUCUUCACAUCUUAUAAAGCCGCUGUGCCGACCGCUCGCUCUUGCUUUCCUUUCCAAGUUGCAGGAAAUUCAAACACUUUACAUGAAGGGUGGAGAAGGUUUGGGAUAUAUUUUUUGGAUUAUUACUGUUGUGAGCUGAUUUAUUUUUUUGUAAAGCUGAUCUUUAAGAUGAAAAAAAAGUCGCAGUCGCCUAAAGUCCCCUGGAAAUUGCUACUGCUGGGGAAAGCGAAACAUUUCUUGCAAAACAGAAAAUGAUCCCGUAGCAGAGCUCUCCCUCUCGCAGAAGUGCAGCCUGCGUGGAAAGUGCAGGUUGUACCCUCAGCAGCUGAACGGUGUCACUGAAACAAACAUUUGCAAAGUUUCCCAAGAAUCCCCUCACACUACCCAGGUGCGGCCGGCAGCUGAGGGCUGAGCUGAGACGAGGACCGCUAAAAUUAACGGUUGGUUGUGGGAAUAUCCAGGGAGGAUCAGAAGGAAGUUUAUUAAACUUGGAACAGCUGCCUCGUGGAAACCAACAUCUUUUGGUCUUUAACCUUUUUCUCUCCCCGAGCAGCGAGUUGUUUCACCAGUUGUUCAUUGCAGACAAGGGAGGGAGUAGCGUACUUCGAGGUCCCCAUAUGCCUGUAUAGCUGCUCUCAGAGACUCAUUUAUUAGCACUGGCCGAUGGCUUUCUCUGGGGGUGAGAUCCUCUAUGUGAACCGCUCCGUCCCCGGGAGCUCUCACCUCUGUCGAGCACCAGUCCGGCUCCGCGGGCUCCUCUGCCCCUUCAUCAGGAGCAGAGACGCCAACGGGAGGUCCCUGAGGGUCCUCCACAGCCGAGUGUCCCCCGGACACGCAGGAAGGGCUGGGCAUCAGCAUGCCGGGGCCUUUUGAGGCACAGGCUGCGAAGCACUGAGGAGCGAGCUGUCGAGGGAGGAGGCGGCGCGCCUGGGGCCGGGCCGACGGGGGCCGGGCUCCUGGCGGCGGUGUGGGGGGAGCCAAGCCCGGGCAACAGGCGCAGGGCAGUGCAGCCAGGCGCCCCACCGGGCAGCGGCUCUUCCAAGGCAGUCCCACGCAGCGCGCAGGCGGAGCCGUGGGCUUCGGGAGCGUCGCGAAGGCAUCGCCCGGGACCGAGCGCGGUGAGCUUCGGCAGCCCGCACUCACGCCGGGCACCCUCUCCCCGUCCGGGCGUACAGGCAGCCGGCAGCUGCCUGCGCUGGCUCUUCUCCCCGGGGUAAAAACCUCACCUCCUCCCGCGCGCCUCUCUGGCACCCAAUCGAAAUGGAAAAAGUGGACGAAAAGCACCCCAGUUUUCCCCGAUAAAGUACAGCGCAAAAACUGUUUUCAUAACGACUGGAGUAGAUGAAUGUGGAUCUGACAAGUUUGUUUAGAAACACCACUGCCCACGACUGAAUGCGAUGCUCCACUUCUACAAAAUACUAAGUGUUGUCAGUAAUCAUUGUAAGAGCAACAAUAAUCUGAGAACAAAGACAUUUUGCAAUAUCUACAUAACUUUUUUAGAACAAAAUUACCUCAAAAUGCGAAUAAAAUCCCAAACCUCCUGAAUACAACUGAAUAAAUUUUUUCUCCGGGUUAAAA